GACGAACGCUGGCGGCGUGCCUAAUACAUGCAAGUAGAACGCAGUUGCGAACGGGUGAGUAACGCGUAGGUAACUGCCUCAUAGCGGGGGAUAACUAUUGGAAACGAUAGCUAAUACCGCAUACUGUGAGAUGUACCUGCGUUGUUUUAGCUAGUUGGUGAGGGAAAGGCUCACCAAGGCGACGGUACAUAGCCGACCUGGGAGGGUGAUCCGCCAAACUGGGAACGGGACACGGCCCAGAAUCCUUCAGGGGGCAGCAGUAGGGAAUCUUCGGCAAUGGACGGAAGUCUGACCGCACAACGCCGCGUGAGAGAAGAAGGUUUUCAGAGCGUAAAGCUCUGUUGUUAGAGAAGCGGUAACUAAACAGAAAGGAACGGCUAACUACGUGCCAGCAGCCGCGGUAAUUC
rnacentral:rRNA from 1 species